GGAAACCCUUAGAAAUCUGAUUUGGACAAAAAUUGAAAAAGAUAAUCAAGAAUUUACUUGUGCAUGAGCCUGAAUUGAGAUAAUCUAAGCUUUCCUUUCAAGUGGAGUGAAGGAAGAAGGUACGAGCCAAUCCGGAUCGCAAGUGUCGCAAAGUAAAGGUAAAUCCCACUCUUGAUGAUGCGAGCUCGGACCGAACACACUACAUCGCCCUCUAUGCGCUUCCGGUUAAAGUCGUCUUUUGUAAAUGGGUCAAAACACUUUCAUAAUGUAAUUGUUUCAACUUUUAUGUCUUUUGAAACAUGUCUUAGAAUUAGUAUUGAAUGAUUAUUGUUAAAAAAAAACAGGGAAUUGCUUAUAGUACG